UGAGGCAGGCGAAGGUGAACGUUAUUUGCUGCCGCCCGCAACACCGCUGAUGUAUCCGGGAUUGCCAUCUCCGGAUCCGGAAACAAGUGGAUCAGCUCUUACAUAAUGAGCACACCACAUCAUGGAGCACACCACAUCAUGGGGCACACCACAUCAUGG